UCCGGUUGAUCCUGCCAGAGGCUACCGCUCUUGGGGUUCGAUUAAGCCAUGCGAGUGGAGGGCAGUUCGGCUGCCCCGCAGACGGCUCAGUAACACGUAGUCAAUCUACCCUUGGGACGGGGACAACCCCGGGAAACUGGAGAUAAUCCCCGAUAGGUGGAGGCACUGGAAAAGUCCUUCACUGAAAGCUCCGGCACCCAAGGACGAGACUGCGGCCCAUCAGGUAGUUGGUAGGGUAACGGCCCACCAAGCCGAUAACGGGUACGGGCUGUGAGAGCAGGAGCCCGGAGAUGGGGACUGAGACAAGGCCCCAGGCCCUACGGGGCGCAGCAGGUGCGAAACCUCCGCAAUGCGUGCAAACGUGACGGGGGAACCCCAAGUGCCGAUGGUCCAACGACUGUCGGCUUUUCAAGAGUGUAAAGAGCUCUUGGAAUAAGGGCUGGGUAAGACAGGUGCCAGCCGCCGCGGUAACACCUGCAGCUCAAGUGGUAGCCGAUUUUAUUGGGCCUAAAGCGUCCGUAGCCGGGCUGACAAGUCCCUUGUGAAAUCGGGCGGCUCAACCGUUCGGCUUGCAAAGGAAGCUGUCGGCCUUGGGGCCGGGAGACGCCGAGGGUACUCCAGGGGUAGCGGUGAAAUGCUGUAAUCCUUGGGGGACCACCAGUGGCGAAAGCGCUCGGCGAGAACGGACCCGACGGUGAGGGACGAAAGCUGGGGGAGCGAACCGGAUUAGAUACCCGGGUAGUCCCAGCCGUAAAGCAUGCAGGCCAGGUGCUGGGCGUCCCUCGAGGGCAUUCGGUGGCCGUAGGGAAGCCGUUAAGCCUGCCGCCUGGGGAGUACGGUCGCAAGGCUGAAACUUAAAGAAAUUGGCGGGGGAGCACCACAAGGGGUGGAGCCUGCGGUUUAAUUGGAUUCAACACCGGACAACUCACCGGGGGCGACGGCAGUAUGAAGGUCAGGCUGACGACCUUACUGGACUGGCCGAGAGGUGGUGCAUGGCCGCCGUCAGCUUGUACUGUGAGGCGUCCUGUCAAGUCAGGCAACGAGCGAGACCCUCACCUCUAGUUGCCAACGGAUCCCACGGGAUGCCGGGCACUCUAGAGGGACCGCUGCCGCUAAGGCAGAGGAAGGAGAGGGCGACGGUAGGUCCGUAUGCCCCGAAUCCCCCGGGCUACACGCGGGCUACAAUGCGUAGGACAGAGGGAUGCAACCCCGAAAGGGGAAGCCAAACCCUAAACCUACGCUCAGUUCGGAUCGAGGGCUGAAACUCGCCCUCGUGAAGCUGGAAUCCCUAGUAAUCGCGUGCCAACAUCGCGCAGUGAAUACGUCCCUGCUCCUUGCACACACCGCCCGUCAAGCCACUCGAGUGGGAUUUGGAUGAGGCUUGUCGGAAAUUGGGCAAGUCGAAUCCGGGUUCUGCAAGAGGGGCUAAGUCGUAACAAGGUAACC
rnacentral:rRNA from 1 species